rnacentral:rRNA from 1 species
UACAGAGGUCUCAAGCGUUGUUCGGAUUCAUUGGGCGUAAAGGGUGCGUAGGUGGCGCUGUAAGUCGGGUGUGAAAUUUCGGAGCUUAACUCCGAAACUGCAUUCGAUACUGCGGUGCUUGAGGACUGGAGAGGAGACUGGAAUUCAUGGUGUAGCAGUGAAAUGCGUAGAGAUCAUGAGGAAGACCAGUGGCGAAGGCGGGUCUCUGGACAGUUCCUGACGCUGAUGCGCGAAGGCCAGGGGAGCAAACGGG